rnacentral:rRNA from 1 species
UAUGCUUUUAGCAGGAAUAUUAUUAGAGAUGGGAGCAUAUGGAUUGGUUCAUAUCAACAUGGAAUUGUUACCUCAUUCUCAUUAUCUAUUUUCGCCCUGGUUAGUAAUAAUAGGAGCGAUCCAAAUAAUCUAUGCAGCUUCAACUUCUCUUGGUCAACGAAAUUUGAAAAAAAAGAAUAG